UUUGGUCUAAUUCCUGUUUCCUGUUCUCGUAAUUAGUUAAUCUUCAUUCAUUUAGAUCACCUGUGUUGUGUUAAUCAUCUCGUUUGCUCCUUAGGUUUCCUGUCUUCAUAAGCCCUCAGUUUCUGUUGUUUUUUUUGUCUUGGAUUAGUGUUAUUUUUCAAUGGUUUACGUGGUUGAUGCUGAUUAAAAAACCUCCUUUACUCCUACUCCUUCGUCGUGCGCGCUCUCUACAACCACAACCCCGUGACAGUAACCGCAGAUAUUAUGAAAGAAAGAAAAAAACUAUGUUUGGAAUGACAUAAGGUUAAGCAAUGUAAAUAAUGACUGCAUUUUCAUUCUGUGAACUAUUUCUUUAAGAAGUGAUGCUGAUCUAAAAGCUGCUGGAGAUGACUGGACCAAAGCGGAGGGGGAAAAAAAGUGAGUCUGAAGGAGAGCGAGUGCUGAAAAGGUGCUUUGUCCUGGGCUCCAGGUUGACGGAGGCGCAGGCCCGUCAGUGACUGUGGUUCUAGGCGGACGUCCAGGCCCUCGCUGGCACCGUCUGCAGAGCACACAGCUGGGCUCAACACCUCAACCCAGCCCAACACUAACUGCAAGCAACCACCACUGAUGGAAAAACAAACGGUAUUGGGGACAGAGACUUAGUCCCCCUUGUGAAAACAAGUACACUUAGCAUACUUUAUUACAAAACUAAUAUACUUUAAAUUAAAAUACCCUAUGUGCAAACAGAAUGUUAUGUUUUCAGACACUUCAUUGCAUGUUAGUUGCAAGUAAAUGAAAGUGUAUUAUAGUUUAAAUGCAAUUACUGGAACUUAAGAGUGCUUUUCU